rnacentral:rRNA from 1 species
AACGAACGCUGGCGGCAGGCUUAACACAUGCAAGUCGAACGCCCCGCAAGGGGAGUGGCAGACGGGUGAGUAACGCGUGGGAAUCUACCCAGAUCUUCGGAACAACUGAGGGAAACUUCAGCUAAUACCGGAUACGCCCUACGGGGAAAGAUUUAUCGGUUCUGGAUGAGCCCGCGUUGGAUUAGCUAGUUGGUGAGGUAACGGCUCACCAAGGCGACGAUCCAUAGCUGGUCUGAGAGGAUGAUCAGCCACACUGGAACUGAGACACGGUCCAGACUCCUACGGGAGGCAGCAGUAAGGAAUAUUGCUCAAUGGCCGAAAGGCUGAAGCAGCAACGCCGCGUGGAGGAUGAAAUACUUUUGUAUGUAAACUCCUGUAAGAAGGGAAAAUAAACAGAUUUUCUGUGUUGAUUGUACCUUCAGAGUAAGCCCCGGCUAACUACGUGCCAGCAGCCGCGGUAAGUGACGUCAGA